rnacentral:misc_RNA from 1 species
AACUCUCAAACCGCAUCUUUUAUCGAUGUCGGGCUUGGACUUGGAUGUUGCUGGGCCCCCCGACCGGGUUCGGCUCGUCUCAAAUGCAUUAGCUGACUCUCCCGACUUCAGUUUUCGGCGUGAUAAUCACAUCUACGUCGAUGCCGCGAGGCGCUGGACCGGGGAUCAAACGGCUCCUAACCGUCCGUGAGGACAAAUCGUUUUCAUCUCA